CCUUCAGAGGGAGUACAGCCCUGCCAACACCUUGACUUUGGACAUCUUGCCUCUAGACCUCUCCUGAAUCCCAGGCCAUGAGCUUCCACCUUUGAGGAGAGAAAAGGAGCAUUUGCCUGAAGUCCUGGUCCUAAUCUCCUAAAGGUAUUGUGCACAUUGAAUAAUAGGAAGCUCUUGACAAAAGAGAAAGACAAGAGAGGUGACAAAUAUGGCCUACAAAACAGGAAAGGAAAACUAAUCACAAGUGCUGUCAGCCCUACCGAGGUCCUGAGUCGCACAGAACACGCCAGAUCACCCCGCUGCAGACAGGCAGGUCUGCCCACGCCCUACCAAGAUCCUGAGUCGCAUAGAACACGCCGAAUCAGCCCACUACAGACAGGCAGGUCUGUGCACGCCCUAGCGAGGUCCUGAGUCACCCAGAAGAUGCCAGAAUCAGCCUGCUGCAGACAGGCAGGUCUGUGCAUGCGCUACCGAGGUCCUGAGUCACACAGAACACGCUUAAUCAGCCCGAUGCAGACAGGCAGGUCUGUGCAUGCCCUACCGAGAUCCUGAGUCAUGCAGAAGAUGCCGAAUCA
rnacentral:lncRNA from 1 species